AUCCACCUAACUCCCAGCCUGCUUCAUACCAGAGACGACUUUUAGUUACUAGAUCUGGCAGGAAAAUUAAAGGAAGAGGACCAAGGCGUUAUCGAACUCCUUCCAGAUCCAGAUCAAGGGAUCGUUUCAGACGUAGUGAGACUCCUCCACAUUGGAGGCAAGAGAUGCAGAGAGCUCAAAGAAUGAGGGUAUCAAGUGGUGAAAGAUGGAUCAAGGGGGAUAAGAGUGAGUUGAAUGAAAUAAAAGAAAAUCAGAGAAGUCCAGUUAGAGUAAAAGAGAGAAAAAUAACAGAUCACAGGAAUGUAUCUGAGAGUCCAAACAGAAAAAAUGAAAAGGAGAAGAAAGUUAAAGACCAUAAAUCUAACAGCAAAGAGAGAGACAUCAGAAGAAAUUCAGAAAAAGAUGACAAGUAUAAAAACAAAGUGAAGAAAAGGGCCAAAUCUAAAAGUAGGAGUAAGAGCAAAGAGAAAUCAAAGAGUAAAGAAAGAGAUUCAAAACAUAAUAGAAAUGAAGAAAAGAGGAUGAGGUCAAGGAGUAAAGGAAGGGAUCAUGAAAAUGUUAAAGAAAAAGAAAAGCAGUCUGAUUCUAAAGGAAAAGAUCAGGAAAGGAGUAGAAGUAAAGAGAAGUCUAAACAGUUAGAAUCAAAGAGUAAUGAGCAUGAUCACAGUAAAAGUAAGGAAAAGGAUAGACGCGCACAAUCCAGGAGUAGAGAAUGUGAUAUAACUAAAGGUAAACACAGUUAUAAUAGCAGAACAAGAGAACGAAGCAGAAGUAGGGACAGAAGCAGAAGAGUGCGAUCAAGAACCCAUGACAGAGAUCGCAGCAGAAGCAAGGAGUACCAUAGAUACAG
rnacentral:lncRNA from 1 species